AUUGAACGCUGGCGGCAUGCCUUACACAUGCAAGUCGAACGGUAACGGGCCUUCGGGUGCCGACGAGUGGCGAACGGGUGAGUAAUACAUCGGAACGUGCCCGAUCGUGGGGGAUAACGAGGCGAAAGCUUUGCUAAUACCGCAUACGAUCUACGGAUGAAAGCAGGGGACCGCAAGGCCUUGCGCGGACGGAGCGGCCGAUGGCAGAUUAGGUAGUUGGUGGGAUAAAAGCUUACCAAGCCGACGAUCUGUAGCUGGUCUGAGAGGAUGAUCAGCCACACUGGGACUGAGACACGGCCCAGACUCCUACGGGAGGCAGCAGUGGGGACUUUUGGACAAUGGGCGCAAGCCUGAUCCAGCCAUGCCGCGUGCAGGAUGAAGGCCUUCGGGUUGUAAACUGCUUUUGUACGGAACGAAAAGCCUUCUUUUAAUACAGGAGGGUCAUGACGGUACCGUAAGAAUAAGCACCGGCUAACUACGUG
rnacentral:rRNA from 1 species